rnacentral:rRNA from 1 species
UACGUAGGGUGCGAGCGUUGUCCGGAAUUAUUGGGCGUAAAGAGCUCGUAGGCGGUUUGUUGCGUCUAUCGUGAAAACCUGCAGCUUAACUGUGGGCUUGCGGUGGAUACGGGCAGACUUGAGUUCGGUAGGGGAGACUGGAAUUCCUGGUGUAGCGGUGAAAUGCGCAGAUAUCAGGAGGAACACCGGUGGCGAAGGCGGGUCUCUGGGCCGAUACUGACGCUGAGGAGCGAAAGCGUGGGGAGCGAUCCGG